GGAUAAUCAGAUGAUAAAAUGACCAGAUGCUUCAUUAAGUGCACUCCUAAUCCAUAUUAACCCACCUGUGGCAUCACAUCCUCUGUCAACUGGAUGGACCUUCACUUCACUCACAAAUCCAAGGAAUUCCAGGCAUGGGAACCCUGUCAAGCAGGCCAUUUCAAUGACCAAACAGCUGGUAGCUGCCACCACCAUGUACUCCUGAAUGAACAUCAGCCACCGAACGGUUACUGGAUUGACAGCAGGGAAGACAGCCCAGCUGUAGAAGAGCACUGGUUUACGAUUCAAGAGCUUCCAUUCCCAAAUUUGCUUUGCAGUGGUGAGCAAACUCAGCUGGCCUCUAUCUCAGUUCCCUGUAUCACCCAGGGAAAGCAACAGCAGUUCUCUCCUGCACAUGGAAACAUUAUGAGAACAGCAGGCAUAAAGCUACUAAACAGUGUAAAGAACUCGGGCUGCCCAGCUGUUGGAUUACAGUCCCCAGAUACCACACAAAGUACUUGUUAUCAGACCCCAGUCACAGUCAAUCUACCUCAUUAAUAGCAGCAGUUAACCUUUCAACUGGAGGAAUUAAAAAGAUGCAAAAAUUAGUAAUUGCUGACCAAGGUCUCCUGAUUUUAAGUUAGUAAAGCUCAUGGCAACACCACAGCUGCAAUU